rnacentral:rRNA from 1 species
GCGCACCAGGAAUGUCUUGUAGGCGCGCGCCCCCACCGCGCGCCGGACGCGUCCCUGCCCCUUGUACACACCGCCCGUCGCUCCUACCGACUGGGCGCGGCGGCGAGCGCCCCGGACGCGCGAAGGGCCGCGAGCCCCCGCGCCUGGAGGAAGGAGAAGUCGUAACAAGGUAUCCGUAGGUGA